rnacentral:rRNA from 1 species
AUUGAACGCUGGCGGCAUGCCUUACACAUGCAAGUCGAACGGCAGCACGGGUGCUUGCACCUGGUGGCGAGUGGCGAACGGGUGAGUAAUACAUCGGAACAUGUCCUGUAGUGGGGGAUAGCCCGGCGAAAGCCGGAUUAAUACCGCAUACGAUCCACGGAUGAAAGCGGGGGACCUUCGGGCCUCGCGCUAUAGGGUUGGCCGAUGGCUGAUUAGCUAGUUGGUGGGGUAAAGGCCUACCAAGGCGACGAUCAGUAGCUGGUCUGAGAGGACGACCAGCCACACUGGGACUGAGACACGGCCCAGACCCCUACGGGAGGCAGCAGUGGGGAAUUUUGGACAAUGGGCGAAAGCCUGAUCCAGCAAUGCCGCGUGUGUGAAGAAGGCCUUCGGGUUGUAAAGCACUUUUGUCCGGAAAGAAAUCCUUGACUCUAAUACAGUCGGGGGAUGACGGUACCGGAAGAAUAAGCACCGGCUAACUACGUG